CCUUUGGUAGGUGCGCUUUGCUUCCUAACCCGUUGCCGGGUUGGAGAUUCCACCUCCGAAGUUUUCUUUCUGACUUUUGAUUUUACAUUCCUAGUACAGUGGAGAAGCCCAGGCGGCCUAGAAUCCAGUGUCGUCCGUGAGUGCUUGGCUGGUGUUCAAGUGCAUCUUCCAGCCUGAGACCGCGUGGACUCGCUCAUCGUGAGGGCGAGAGGAGGAUAAGCCCAUUGGGCUGUCGGCUGAGAGUGAGGUGCGGGACCAUCCACAAUAUUGUUUGAACAUCUGAAGACAUGGGGAACUUGCCAUCUGAUAUCUGAUAACAGACUUCCUGUAAAGCAGGACUGGUAGUUUCCUGAUAACAAAUUCUUCAAUAUGAAGCAGAUUGCUGAUGAAAUCCUUGGCAUCGUCGGAGAUCUCAUCGAAUGCCUCGUCGUCGAAGUCCCAGGUGGCUGAGGUAACGUUGGCCAAGGUUUCGUUAUCGUUGUCUCCCAUGAAGGGGGAAAGGCCACUGACUCUGGAGAGACAAGAGCAGGACAGCAGGUGUGGCUAGGAGAGGGCGCGACGACCAGAUGAGGGAAUUGAGGCACAGCCCAGGCUCAAGUCACCUGCCCAAAGAUUCACAGCCAGUGAGAUUGGAAGCCAGGUAUCUGCCUCUAGAGCCUGUCCUCUUAAAUGCUAUACUAUCCUAACAUUUCUGUAAAGAUGAAGUAAAUUGCAGUGUUCAGCACUGGCACCAGGCCUGGUCCACAGUAAGGAGGCGGUCCAUGCCCGGAGAUCUCAUGCAGUUCUGCUGGGUUCCCUCCACUGCCUUACCAAGCUGUGAGUGCAGGAAUGACUUUGUGACCAGCAGCUUAAGCCAAAUAAACUUUAUAAGGUAAAGAAUUUCAAAACAAAA
rnacentral:lncRNA from 1 species